AAGAACCAAAAAACAAACAAACAAACAAAAAAAACCCUUGUUUUCUUACAGAGAGGUAAUUUAAUUUGUCAAUCUCAUUAUUAUAUAUUCAAGUUAUUUUAUAUUCUUCCAAAACAUAAACAAAGUGAAGUAAAUGUAUUUUGUAUUUAAAUAUUUCUCUACAGACUCUUUAUUUAGGGUAUGUUCCUGAAUGUGGCAUAAUUUGGUUAGCAUAUCUAAGCUUAAGGCCUUUGACGUAUCUCAUUAGGUUGCCUUCCAGAAAGGUUUUGUCAGUUUUUAUUCCACCCAUUAGUUCCAGAAAGUUCAGGUUUCUCUGUACACCCACUGACACUGGCUAUUACUGCUCAUUUGGAUCUUCUGCUACAAGCACUCACACCACUGUGGACAUUUGUCAUUGUUGCUGCCCAGCAUUGACCCCUUUUUCUUCUGGCAAACAUCCUCUAAUUUCCUUUUGGAACCACACCUCCCAAACUCUCAGUUUCAGUUUGAGGAGCCUGACUUAUCCCCCCAGCUCCAGGCAUGGGCACAUGACCACUGCCCUGCCCAUCAGUUUCCUGUGCAUGCCCAGCCACAGGUGUUGGCUCAGAGGGAGCAUGUGACCUUACCAGCCACUGAGAACCAACUCCUGAACUUUUCCUGGAAUACUGAACAAGAGUUCUUUUUUUUUCCCCGAAUUUACUAAACUGGUGGGAUGUAACCCCAAAGCUUCUGGAGACUACACGGAGAGGUCCUGCCUGAGAAUGAAGCCUACAAGAAAGAAAACAGCCAAGAGAUGGAGAAUCGGGUGACAGCAUCUCAGGGAACAUCAUUUGAGAAUUCCCCUGGAUCUAGAUCUAACUAUAUCUGAAGCAAGUCAACCUUCUUGAACUCCCUGGGAAAUAAAUGCUCAGAGAGCUAAGAAUCUCUGAGAGAGAACUGUGAAGCUCUGUGACAACUCAAGUACCUCCCUUCCCUCCAAAGCGGGUCCCUGGCUGGCUGAAUUUGGAAAGCAGGCAGGCUGCCUCACUGGGGGCUUAAAAUCCAAAGCUUCUCCUUCUAAGAACACAAGAACGCCCCACUACUCCAACGGCCCCCUGCCCCUCACCUGUAAGCAGCAAUUUCAAUAUCC